rnacentral:rRNA from 1 species
UACGUAGGGGGCGAGCGUUGUCCGGAAUUAUUGGGCGUAAAGAGCGUGUAGGCGGUUCGGUAAGUCUGUCGUGAAAUCCUGGGGCUCAACCUCGGGCGUGCGAUGGAUACUGCCGGGCUAGAGGGUGGUAGAGGCGAGUGGAAUUCCCGGUGUAGCGGUGAAAUGCGUAGAGAUCGGGAGGAACAUCAGUUGCGAAGGCGGCUCUCUGGACCAGCACUGACACUGAGGCACGAAAGCGUGGGGAGCAAACAGG